AAUAAAUGCAGUUUUACACUAUUCACAUUCAACGUUUGACCGUUCGUUUUAUUUAAAAUAUUUUUGUGAUUAGUAUUUUUAUUGCUAUUAGAUGAUAAAAUAUAAAUAGUACUUUAUAUGUGACUAAAUAUUUUCAAUUUUUUUAUAAAUUUUUCAAAUAAGACGGACGGUCAAACGUUGGGCGCAGAUAUCCAUGGCUGCACUUAUU
rfam:Oryza rufipogon genomic scaffold, chr03